AACGUAGGACACAAGCGUUAUCCGGAGUUACUGGGCGUAAAGGGCGUGCAGGCGGUUUCUUAAGUCAGGCGUGAAACCAUUCGGCUAAACCGGGUGUAGUCGUCUGAGACUGGGAGACUAGAGUGUGGUAGAGGCGUGUAGAAUUCCGGGUGUAGUGGUGAAAUUCGUAGAUAUUCGGAAGAACACCAGUGGCGAAGGCGACUGACUGGACAUGUAUUGACGCUGAGGUGCGAAAGCGUGGGGAGCAAACAGGG
rnacentral:rRNA from 1 species